rnacentral:lncRNA from 1 species
ACACCGCUCCUGGAGCGAUUGUUUCAAUGUUGCUUGCUCGGAAUGGCCCUCCUGAGCAAACAACAGACGGUGCUCAAAGUAACAACUGGACUUAAUAAAAGGAGCUUACACGAAGGAGGAGCUGAAGGCUGCUGUGGUCGUGUGCUGGGGGCUGCCCCAGCUCCAGCUGCAGGACCCCGGCCGUCUGCCUUCCGACUCCGGUGAUGAUUCUUCCUGCGGUCUGAUCAAGAUUCUAUGCAGUUAACUUUGUAUCCAAGGAUCUAUAGCCAAGAAAUUUGGAGCUCAGUUUCAAACAUGCCAGCAGUGUAAACCCUUGCCCUUGCUGAAAGAAAGAAAAAGAAAGAAAGAAAGAAAGAAAGAAAGAAAGAAAGAAAGAAAGAAAGAAAGAAAGAAAGAAAGAAAGAACAAACGAACCUCUGGAUGUUGCCAAAUAUCACCAUAUCACCUAUGGGGAAAAAAUCUCUUGAAACGUGGUCUCACUCUGUCACACAGAGUGGAAUGAAGUGGCAUGAUCUCAGCUCACUGCAACCUCUGCCUCCCUGGCUCAAGCAAUCCUCUCAUCUCAGCCUCUUGAGUAGCUGGGACUACAGGCACACACCACCACACCUGGCUAAUUUUUGUGUAUUUUGUAGAGACAGUUUUGCUACGUUGCUCAGGCUGGUCUGGAACUCCUGGACUCAAGCAGUUUACCUGCCUCAGCCUCCCACAAGUGCUGAGCCACUGUGCCUGGCCAAAAAAAACUUUCUCAAUUGAGGAAUAUUG